rnacentral:lncRNA from 14 species
GGGAUGCGGGUUCACCAGGAUGGGACGGGAGGAGUGGGUCCUGCUGGACACACCAAGGGUUCAUGCUGAUCCCAGCAGGACCCACUGUGAUGUCCAGUGCAUGUCCAGAGUUGCAGCGGUCACCUCCUGUCCCCACUUCCCUUUGGAAAUCACAGACUGAUUUCUGAGCCACCAGGAACCAUCCCCAGCCUGGAGGGAUCCACAGAGGAGGAAUUCUGCUCCCUAGGGAUGGCACCAGUGUGGAUUGCAGGAAGGGUUUGUGUGCAGGGCCCCAGCAGAUCCCAGUGUGAGGCAGAGAUCCUAUGGCUGUAGGCACCAGAUGGAGCAAGGCUGCUUCUGGAAGGGAAGGGGGAUCCUGGGGUUGUAGUUACCUGGGAUUUGGUUGUUUCUUAGCCUUGUGCUGGCAACCCAGGGCCUGAGAACCUGUGCUCUUGACCUCAGCAAGCAGUGGGAUGUCCAUGCUGCAGCUUGGUACUAUAGAGGUGACAGAUACAGGAUUCUGGUUAAAGACGUCUGGAGUUCUGUCUUUCAUUCUGGGUAGCGCAUCCCAGGCUGUUACAGCCUCUCUCCUGUGUUGUUCCCUUUGGAUUCAUCCAUACAGACACAUACCUCAACCUACAAGAGCACAAAAAGCAGUAGCAGCAUUUGCUUCCUGCCUAGGAAGGAGCAGGGGCCAUCUGUCCCCAUGAAAUGAUGGUAAAGAAGCUGCUGGAUCAGCAGGGUUGUUGUGGUGGUUGUCAGUAGGGCUAAGAGUGAACAGGUCACCAAGAAGAAUGGGAGCUUCUAUUGCCCAUGUGCUCAGAGGGCAAAGCUUGCAGUCUCAGCCAGGACGUUGCAGUUCACCCUGGUUUCAGUGGGGUUUUGUUUCCAUGGGGUUGCACAGGGAACAGUCAGAAGCUCCUGUCUGGGUGCUGUGUCUCAGCAGCAGCCUAUUGGGAACAGACCUGUGCCACUGGGAACAGGGCACAGGGCCCCUCACCUUGGCAUGCACCUCCCUGCAACAUGACCUGCGGGGACCCCAGCCUGGCCGCUGGGUCUCAGCUCACAUGGUCCCAAGCAGAUCUAGGGCAAGAUCCCCUAAAAAGGCCUCAUUCUUCCCUGAUAGCAUUAGGGAGGUUAAGCCCUGCCCUGAGAACGGGCAGGAACAAUGCUGGGACAUGGGAACCUCUCCUAAAUCCAUGCCCGUGCGCUCAGCCCCAUGGCAAAAGGGGUACAAACCCCCACACCUCUGCCACCACCGCUUUGACUUAACUGUCACCAUUUACUGCUCUUCACUUCUGUAUUUCCAUUUCUCCCCUUCUUUCCAGCCACCACGAUGGCCUGGAGUCCGGCAGCGAAUACGUGAAGUUCUCCAAGGAGAAAUACAUCCUUGAUUCCUCACCGGAGAAGCUUCACAAGGAGCUGGAAGAGGAGCUGAAGCUGAGCAGCACUGACCUGCGCAGCCACGCUUGGUACCACGGCCGCAUCCCACGGGAGGUGAGCAGGGGAAGGUGGGUGGCUCCGGGCAUCCUUUGCUUGGGCUGCUCAUGCAGAGAACCAGUGUGUCCUGAUGGGAAGCCUCUGAGCAGCCUGGUUUUCCAGGGGCAAAG